rnacentral:sRNA from 1 species
AUCUUAUGAUUUUAAUGAGAUCAUAUUACGUUAAUUCUACAAUCUUAAUAAAAUCAAUGGUGAAAAAUAUUCUUUUGAUUUAGAAUGCGUUAUAUAUUACAUAUAUUACAAAAUUUGGUGAACUCUCUCAAAUGCUCUGUCAAAUUGAUCUUUCAAACCAUCUUCAAGUGAGAUCUUUAACUCCUGCAAGAACACCAACCACAUAUCCAGUAACAAAUAUUGAUCCUGUGAUGCCAUCUUUAAGAAGAUCCAAACACUACAAGGCCUACCAAAUUUAUUACUUCCAUUAUCAUCUUCAACAAUAAGGCCCUUAGAGAAACCAACACUGCAUCAAAAGCCUGAUGGCGAAGAUUUGACCAAGAAAAACAAAAGCAUCUAAAAGGUUUACUAUAACAUAAUAUUGGAUUUUUCAAGAAUGUAGAAGUUACAAUUCUAUUAAUAUGAGAAAUACACUACUGCUUUGGCCAUUUGGUUACAAAAUAUGUUACCAACAAGAAGUUCAUGGAUUAGUUGUUAAGUACAUCUUCUUGGAAUAUUUGCAAGGAAUAAUUAAAAAGGAAAACAAUGAAAAAUCAAAUACAUACUAAACUUUUGAUUAAUCACUCUAUAGUAAAGAUUUUGAAGCAAUUCCACCUUACAUGUAAUUCCUGUGAAAAUCAGUGUUUACUCACUAAUUCUGUUCAGUUUAGACCUUGAGUUUGAGACUGUAAUAGACCUUCAGUUAGUCCUCAAUCAAUUUUUUAACAGAAAAAUCUGUAAACAAGGAAAACCAUGGUAAAAAUAGAGUGAAAUAUAUGUGAUUAUUAAUAGAAGUAAAAGAAAAAAUUGAAUCAUCUUCUCAUCAAACAAGUCCAUAUUAUUUGAAGUGAUGGAAAUACGAUAAGUUUCACCAUGACAUGCAAAAGGAAAGGAUAAAGGGAAGAUGUCGACACAAUAUAUUUUUAAGGACAAUAUAAGGAUUGUUGAACUCUUAAGCUUCUGUAACUCAUCUCUUGAGGUACACAUUAGAGGAAUGCAAACAUAAACAAUUCUAAACAUGAAGAUGCAUAACUUAGCCAGUAUUAUAUGCAACCUGUGUCAUUCAUGUAAAUUUUUGGUUUCCAUCCUGAAAAAACUGGUACUCAUUUCCUGAAGUGUUUUUGGUAUCAUUAUCUAAUCAAAACUGAAGUUUCACCUCAGCAAUCUGCAUAAUAAACAUUUGCAUCGAAUGAAAUUCCAAUUUGAUUGAAGAAUAAUACAAAAAGAACUUAAGGAAACUAAUUCCAAUUCUGUGCAAACGAGGAAUUGCAAAAUUCUUUUCUCUACUGUGAUAAUGUAAAAACCUGGUAAAUAUUCAAAAGAUAUUGAUCCAAACAACUUUGUACUGUUCAAAAUAUCUAUCAACUUAGAAAGUCCAAGUACUAGAGCUUUACAUUAUAUAGAGUAAAGGUGUACUAUAUAUACAAUAUAAACAUAACUCCAACACUUAACCCCAACAUUUAAAAUCUAAAACCAAAACUCACUCUAUAUACAAGGAGAAUUCGCUUCACAACUCAAUUUUUUUGGCUACUAGUGCCCUUACACUAUUUAGUCUUCCUUAAGCUUAUAGACAUUGUCAAUGUAAUCUUCUGUCUCCCACAGGAAAGAUCCAAAAGCAACAGCUUCCAAUACUAGUCUCUUCAAGCUAGAAAAUGAAGUCAAAAUAACAUCAUCAUUCUCAAACGAACCCGAAUCCUUGUUGUUAAAGAGUGCACAACUAUAACUACCCACCAAAUUCACAGCCUCCUUAGAUCUCAAUCUGGCACAUCUUUGCAAUGAUCCAGGAUGAAAGCUCAUAACAUAACAUUUUAAGUCCUCAACUUCCUCUUCUGGCCUGAUUAACCCUUGCCCUAAGGAUGGCAUGUUACUCAAGUGGCCAAAGAUGGCCUCUUUGAAUCCGUAAGAACACAUAAGGGAAGUCCUAUGACCAAGGUGAAUAUCAUGGUCAGCCAACGAUAGAUUUCGUUCUAGGUGGUACCUCAAUGAAACUGACUUCAAAAAGUAACCAUAUAAUAUGGAGGCAACAUAAACCCGGGCAAGUAAGAAUUGUCUAACUUUGGUUGUCGCCCAACACUCAGUUACACUAGAUUUUGCUUUCAAGCCAGUUACAGUAGUUACGUGUUCCCUUAUCAUAUCCAAAACUUCCAAGCUAUGAAUAGACUCUAGUUCCCAGUCCUUAGAAGGCAAUAUCUCUAGCCUGCCAUUGUAAAGGCAACUAGAAAGUUUUGGUACCAAAGGGACCCUGAUCUCAGAAAACUUGUAAAAAAUCAGCAAGUACAUAACAUCUUCUACAGCAACUUGACAUUGAUUCUCUUUUAGUUGUGCAAUCCUCCUGGCAUUCAGAAAAGGUUCAAGUCAACAUCUUUUCAAUGGAUAUCUACAAGUUUGUUAUGCAAUUACUGAGGAAUUUAAGACUUAGGUUUAACUGUUCUGUUUAUUUCAUUCCAGGGCAUGACUUGAUGCCAGGCAAUUCCUGGAUUCAUUUAAUCAUGCAGAUACUGCUUCAUAUCUGAAAAGACCAUCAAUAUUUAACUCCAAUUAAAACAAUGUAAAAGACAUUACAGGACAAUUCAGGUCAAAGUGGUGAAAGGAAAUGGCCGUCAGCAAAAGUUCAAGUAUCUCAAAUCUCACAAAAGCUAGUACAUUGUAUUAGAAGGUUUCAGAGGGAACCAAAAGUUGUCAGCUAUCCUCUGCUCCCAUUAAGAAGUGAGAAGUUUUAUUGUCAACAUAUAAGAAGAGACAACAACAAAUGGUGAUUGUUCAUGCUCUAAGUUUUAAGGUACAAUCCAGAGAAGAAGAUUUAAAUUCUCCACCUUAAAAUCAUGUAACCAUUGAUUUGUCAGCCUACGUGUACCAGGAAAAUGGCCACUAAUUUUAGGGACUGCAAAACAAUCAAGAAGGAUCCGAGAAAGUUUGGUUUAGCUUUAGACCAGGAAUGAUGACCAAACCGUGCAAGUUGUGGUAUGAUACACUCCAUAGUUUUCACCUCUCCAAACGAUCAUGAAUCCACAUCUUACUGAUCUUACAUUCCUUAGGCUUUGUCUUACUCCUACUUGAUCAAAAGAAACUUGAUACCAAAGCUUGUCCACUCUAGAAUGAAGUUCAAAUUUAGUACUUUGCUUGAUUCAUCAACUAUCAUUAUAUCAUUUGUAAAAUUAACGCAAUGACACAACGGCUCUCUAUUCUUGGAUGUUCCGUUUAAGAAUGUCCAGAGCCAAGGCUUCUUUAGUAUUCUAUUUAUGAAUGUUUUAAGAUUUUGCUUCUCAAGUAAGCUCCUUCCUGAUUCUUUCUUUUCCAACCAAUCUUUCCUGUUUUCUCUGCUUCUUAAAACAUCUUAUAUCCCCUUCAGUUACAGUUUCCCUUACGCUCCAAAAAAAGUAUCUUAUCUACAAAAGUAAAACUUGUAAACCACAAAAAAACCAAAUGAAGCUUGUUAAGGUACACAGCAUGGUAAGGUCUCGCUCCUUACACUCACUGUACAAACACACAAACAAACCUCUGACCUCUGCAAGUCUAGAAAAUUGAGUUCAAAGUUCUUUCCCUUUACGAUAAAAAAAAAAAAACAAGAUUAACCCACCCUAAUAAAUCAGGAAAACCACAAUAUGUUUAUCGCACUUCCGCAUAUAGAUACAUCUAUUAACAAAACCCCAGAUGCAAGGUUUACACAUUGAAUCACCAAAAUUUCCGCAUUGAAGUCACACAUAUCAUAAAGUAACAUGUUAAGGUUGUAAAGAGUGGUCCAGAACAGCAAUUAUGGAGGCAAAACAAGGAUUUUUGCAGUUUCCGCCACAUCGGCCACAUUUAUCAACAAUUUCUCCCAAUAUCUCAAGUAUGGCGUCAAGGUUUUUGAGCCCCACAUCAGCCACUUUUAUCAGCACUUUCUCACAAAAUCAAGGAUGAAACCGCCGCAACCACAAUUUAAAACCUUAGCACAGAUCAGAUUUUCAAGUAAACUCAUGAUAGAAUAGAAUCCUUAAAUACAGUUUGACAAAUAUUUCAACACGCCAAAAUCGUCCCAAAAAGCUACAUGAAAUUCAAACUUCAUAAAUCACAACAAAACAACUU